GGGUGUCCAACACGGGCGAGUAUGAGAGCCAGAGGUUCAGGGCUUCACCCCAACAAGCCCAGUUCCCUGAGGUUGGGUCUGGGGCCCAGACCUGAGUGAGGAUCACUGCAACCUUGUGCUAGACUAUUGACUGCCGUCUUGUGUGGCCAUGGCUCCUGAGGCCCACCAGAGGGCGCAGGAUGCCCAAGCUGCUGCCAGCACCCAACUCUUCCACACCGUGGAAGGAGCCAAAUGCAAAUAAAGUUAUUAAGUACUGAC
rnacentral:lncRNA from 1 species